ensembl:lncRNA
GGCACCAUGACGCAAACAGGGGACAGACUCAGCUCUGUGACAACAGAUGCCUCCCACAGAACUGAACACUGAAGUUUACUUUGAGAGCCUCAGUGGAGCUGGAAUAAGCAGAAAAUAAGACAAAUAACAAGACGGGAUGAGGAGUUCUUGACUGCUGUUUUUUAUGCUGAGGAGGUGGGGGUAUUUUACACACUUUUUCUGUAGUUGCUGAACCUGUGGAAUUACAUCUAUGAGUCAGGGGAGGACUAAAGCCAGCAUGGUAUUCAGCUGGCAGAAGUCCUUUGCCAUCCUGAACCCCUGGAGGAAAGGGAAGGGGGACAAUGUGCUGGAUAAUGAGGUUGUCUUGACCAAGAUGAAGCUCUUCAACAACUUCCAUGAGAAGCUCCUCAACAACACUGAUGAUUCUUCAUCCACUAUCUCCAUGUCAGUAUCUGAGCAGGACAUCUCAGAGCCUGUCAAAGGCUUGAAGGGGAAUGCUGAUCUGGAUAACAUGCCUGGAAAGCCCCUGAUGGAGUCAAACUCAGGCUACCUCUCUGACAUUUUCUCAGACUCUCAGCUUCCCAUGCUGUACAAGUUUGAGUCGGAGGACUCUGGAGUGGAACUGCCCAGUGGAACCAACUCUCCCUCCACACCCACCGGCUCAGAGCAGAGCUUUGUGGUCCACAGCCGGGAACCCUCCUAUGACUCCUGUAACCUCAAUACUCCUGUCCCUACCCCAGGUCCACUCCUCACCAUUGAACAGUGCUCUGACACCAAACAAACAGAGGAUAUAAGAGACACACCAUGUACGACUGUAGACAAUGCUGUGCUGGAGUGUAAUACUGUGGAGUUGGGGGCUGAACUCAACACAGGGGUUGAGAGGGUAGACCUUCAUAUAACUGAGAAGGACAUACAUAUGGAGAGGGCCCAACACAGGGCCUUGAAGGACACUGCUGAGGACAGUGACAGGGUUUCAGAGGAGCUGGGUGAGAACAGGGCUGUGACUGACGGGAUCAACUCAGCGAACACAAGGUCCAAGAGCCAGUGCUCUACAGGGGCCUGUGAUGAUAUGACAGGAGUUAACUUUGAGCAGCGGCCUCUGAGGAAAAGCACGACGAGCGACAGCCUAGAGGAGUAUAUGGAGGAAUGCUGUCGACUGAGUGAGGUGCACCAGGCCAGCUCCAACCCCCUGGGCUCCGGACUGGGCUACCUGGAGCACAUCUGCCAGCUCAUUGAGAAGAUUGGGCAGCUCCAGGAACACAACCUAAGGCUGCAGAAGCAAAUCUGUGGGCUGCAAAAGGAUGGAAGGAUGACCAAGACCAAAGAGGACUUCUUCCUGCAGCACUGUAGCUGUGGAACGGCCGGCCUGGCCUUCCAUGAACAGAAAAGACACUCUAGGAGUGAGUUCCUGACCACCUCCGUGAGCGGCACACUCUCUGACCUCUCCACCAUCCCUGAGGUCACACACCACACAGGACUCACAGCCAGGGGAGGGAAGACCAAUUGAAACCAGUGUCUCAUUUGUAAUGGUGCCCUGAGGACAGAGAUUCCAUCAACACAACAACAAAAGAUAAGACACAAGAUAGCUAUGAAUACAUUACAUCAGGUUAUUACAACAAGUUAUAAUAGUCCAUUGAAAUGAUUGCACACUUCAGUAAACUAAUUUAACAACAGAGUUUUAAACAUCCUUAUAGGCAUCAGGGAAUCCAGGUGUAAUUUGUUUUGUAAGAUAUUCCGUAACUGUGGUGCGUUAAAACUAAAGGCAGAUUUAAACUUUAUGAAUACAAGCUGGAUCUCAAGAGUUAACGAACACUGCGACAGGACACAAUGUGUGCUCUCUCAUGGUGUCAAGUCUAGUUGCCACUAUAUUACGAAAGGUGUACCGCAAGGGUUGGUAUUGGGACCUGUUCUCUUCACUAUUUACAUAAAUAAUAUUGGUCUAUGCAAUCCUGUAAUAUUCAUCACUAUGCAGACAAUACGGUUAUGUAUGCCAUUGCACUGAGUGUUGUCUGAGCUAUGUUAGAGCUGCAAUCUGAUUUUGUUGCAUUACAGAAAGCCCUCGUUGAUUUAAAACGUGUACUUAAUGCGGGCAAAACUAAAUAUAUGUUGUUCUUUAAUUCACAAAAAAAAUCUCGAAAGGGCUACAUAUUCACUCAUUGGACAGCUCUCUCAUCAAGCGGGUUCCAGCCUACAAAAAUCUGUGCGUUUGGAUUGAUAAAGAUCUAAUGUUCAAAAAAACAUACUGAUGAGGUAGUUAAAUGGAGGGAACAUAUAGAGUCCCAUAGAUUCAGGAAUUUCUUGCUCUUCCGAUAAGCAGGAUUCAGGAAAUUGGAGCUGGGGAGUAGGAGGAUGGCGAAUGGUACUGCGAUAACAGAUUGAGGACGUGGGGAGGUUGAGUGGGCAGUGGCGGCAGGUUGAAAGAAGGGGUUCCUCUGGGACUGCUGAUUCACAUCACCAUGUGUCAUAACAGUUUCCCCCCACUAUGAGCAGCGAGUGGUUCCAACCCUUGUGACUCUAGCCUCAUUUAUACCUGGCGCUAACAUGCGUCCUUUGUCCUGAUCUUGCCCACAUUCUGACUGUGCCCACAUUUUCAGAAAUAUGUCUACACAUGGUAUUAAAAUGUGUCUCACUGUGUUUGCAUUGUGAUCCACUAUUCUUUAAAAAAUGUAAGUAUUUAUUUAUUUUAAGACCCAUAUUGAUGCCAUAAGUCAAAUGGUGCCACCUGUCAAUGAGUUAAGAAGGUGGGAUAAUGAUGAAUUAAACUGUUUCACUGUCCAGGUCCGUCUACACUUGUAAUGUUUCCAGACACAAUGCGUGCCUGACUACCUUCGUAGGUGGUCAGAAAAAUCACAAUCAGAUCACAAUGCGUAUUUUAAUCAUCUCCAGUCUACACUGGUCUGAAAAUGUGGGCACAAUCAGAAUGUGGACAAGAUCAGAACAAAGUAUGCAUGCUAGAACCAGGUAUAAACAGAUCUUCUGAUUCAUUUAUUCUCUCUCUCUAUAGAGAGUGACCAGGGUGGAUGCCAGCCCCUGGUGCCCCUUUGGAAGAGGGGCCUGAAUCGGAUGAGCUACACAGAGGGAGAUACGCGCUCCUAUCUAUCUGACAGUACAGAGGGUCUCUCUGCCCCACACAGACGGCUGAGUGAGAACUACACGUGGGGCAGAGUGAAGGAUCUGGUGAAGAAGACCAAGCUGAGGAACCAGAGCAGACUGGGACAAACAUCCACCUCCCUCAAGAGAUCCUGUCCACAGCUUUACCGCCCUGACCUGGGACCAGUGGACCUACCAGGAAGAAACAGGAACUCCAUGAUCGCCUUGGGCCAUCAGAACAAACUGGACUUCCAGUGGCCCAGAUAACCAUUGUUGGUACAGAAAGUUCUGACGCAAAAUAUUGCUAAUGCGUAGUGAAACAUGUUGGAAGGAUGCUGUGCAUGUACAAGCACAACUGAUUUAGCAGCUGUCGUGCGAUCUAUUCUCAGCGUACAUGUGUAAUAAAGAUAUCCAUAGAGGUGAAGAGGCAACACUUUUGUAACACUGCCCACACUGAAUGUCUUUGUUUUCUACCCAGAUAUGAAACAGACGGCCCGAAGUGGGAAGAGAAUGCCCGGAAGGUGAAGUUGCACAGAUUCUCGACUGGACUGAGAGAGUAGUGUGUAAGGAGGGAUGUGAGAAAUAACAUUUGUGAUGGAUGACAAAACUUUGAGUGAGGAGUGAAAAGAAAACAAAAAGAGGGAUGGUCAUAGACAUCUCUCUUGAGAUACAAUUCUAAACUAAGGGAUUGUAUUGUUUCAGAUAAGGGAACAUUGGUAUUUAUAUGAGAACAGACAUGCAUGUACUCCACAAUGAACAUGAAUACGAUACAAAUGAUUUAAUCUUGUACUAUAAAUUCAUAUUGUAAUGCUUUCUCUAAAUAUGUGUUAUGUUAGUGACAUUUCAGUACUAUGUGUUGAUGGAGAAAACAACAACUCUUUGACAUGGUUGUUCCAACUAAGAAAUAGCCUAGACAAUAUUCUGGGGUGAAAUUAAAGGGAUAGUUCACCCAAAUUACAAAAUGACAUUGGUUUCCUUACACUGUAAGCCGUCUAUGGACAAGCUAUGGCAGCAAUGCAUCCUUUGGUUUAGUUUCCCUGCCACUGUUUCAACAUGCUAGCAUUUUAGCAUUUGUGGCACAAAUCCCAUUCAAGUCACGGGACCGAUAUUAUUCGCGCAUCAUGCCCAAAUCAAUACAUGAUUUAAAUUCUAGAUAAGAGCGUUUGCUAAAUGACUAAAAUGAAAAUGUAAAUGUAAAAAUCAUUUGAAAGUAUCUAAAGUCGCUUGUCAAACUCAACAAAGUCACAUAGAUUAUUUGAACAUGAUGCUUGAAAAAUAUUAAUUUCGGUCCCAUGACAGGGUAAGGAAACCAAUAUGUAAUUUGGUGUUUGGGUGAACUAAUCGCUUUGGUUAUCAUGCCCCCUUGAACAAAUGUGAAACAUACACAUAUCAUACAUAUUUGAGGAUUGUACUUAACUAUUCAACACAUUUUGUAUGAAUUCUCUUCUUGUUUUGAGUGUAGGCCUAAGAGGCUGUGUGUGCAUGCACUAUACAGGGAUAAUAGAUCGUGGUGAUGUUGUGUGAAUGUGCUGUAUAUAACAAAAGGUAAUUGUGUACAGUCACCGUGUAUGUACAGGAGGGGAGUUAUGCCUCUGUAAAUUCCUAUGUUUAUAUGAUGGAAAUUUACUUUUUUUUUUACUUUUUGGAGAUAGGGGUUCCAGAUCCCUUAUGAUAAAAAAAAAACACUUUGAGGAUGCUAGAAAACGUUUGUGAUGCAUUGCCGCAAGGUUUUUUAAUGUUCCUCUCAAACAUUUAUGUAAAAAAAAAAAACAGCAAAGAAAAAAAACAAUUUCGCAUCACUGCAACAUGUACAGUAUUUUAUCAGAGGCUGCUGUUGCAUAUGUUCAUCUUCAAGGCAUUUUUUAUUUUAUUGUGACAUGCAAGUCUGGUUUGACAAGCUAACGGUGAUUUUAGCUUUUCUACAUCACGGUUACAUUCCCUGGUUUUCCAGAAAUCCUGGUUGGAAUAUUCCCGUAUUUCCUGCUUUUCCCUCGUAAUGCCAUGAAUCUUCCCAACAGGCUUCCUUGAAAAAUUGGGAAUUUUGGGAAAGCUACUGGAAUUUUGCAACCUUAGUUACGUCACUAUGAGCUUCCUUUGAUAACAGACAGGCAAGUGCCAUGGUACCUUGGAAAUCUCACUGGGUAAAACUACAGAAGGAAGGUUCAACACAGAAGCUUUGAAAAGGAUGAUUACAAUGGCUUCAAAGCCUGGACAUCUAAUUGAAAUACAGCAGAGGUCAAUUCCAAAUGCUCAAAACUGUCCAGUGUUGUUUACAACAGGAAUGGAGGUCAUCACAUUUUUAGAAAAUACUAAUCCCACAGAAAGAACAAAACAGUUAGUUAUCCAAGUAUGUACUUCAGCAAUGUGAACAACAGUAUAGUACAACACCAAUGAGUUAUUCAUCAUGGUCAACGUGUACUCCUAUUAAAAUAAUAAUGUACUCUGUAGUACUGUACACGUAGCACAGCUGUGGCUGUAUCAUACGGAAUUCAUGUACUUCUAAAUACUCUAAUCAAGUAGAAAAUACAUCUGUUGCAACUUGAGAGGCAGUAAAUGCUGUCAAUAUGCAUGAUAGGCCUACAUGUUUUGUCAGGACUGGGAUCUAAAGACUAAAGAUUGUUAUAUCUGUAUAUUGUAGAGUCACAGUAAGUUGUACAUGGAUGGAAUAUCUCAAUAUGUGUAAUGUAUCAUUAUUCAAAGUUAUUUUUCGAAAUAAAGUUGACAUUUUCAAUGACA